GUUAGGAAUAUUGGACAAUGGGCGCAAGCCUGAUCCAGCCAUGCCGCGUGAGUGAUGAAGGCCUUCGGGUUGUAAAGCUCUUUAGCCGAUGAUUAUAAUGACUGUAGUCGGAAAAUAAGCCCCGGCUAACUUCGUGCCAGCAGCCGCGGUAAUACGAAGGGGGCGAGCGUUAUUCGGAAUCACUGGGCGUAAAGCGUGCUUAGGCGGCUUUGCAAGUUGGGAGUGAAAGCCCAGGGCUCAACCCUGGAAUUGCUCUCAAAACUGCAAGGCUCGAAUUCGGGAGAGGAUAGCGGAAUUGUCAGUGUAGCAGUGAAAUGCGUAGAUAUUGACAGGAACACCAGUGGCGUAAGCGGCUAUCUGGACCGAUAUUGACGCUGAGGCACGAAAGCGUGGGGAUCAAACAGGAUUAGAAACCCUGGUAGUCC
rnacentral:rRNA from 1 species